rnacentral:rRNA from 1 species
AGUGAACGCUGGCGGUAGGCCUAACACAUGCAAGUCGAACGGCAGCACAGUAAGAGCUUGCUCUUACGGGUGGCGAGUGGCGGACGGGUGAGGAAUACAUCGGAAUCUACUUUUUCGUGGGGGAUAACGUAGGGAAACUUACGCUAAUACCGCAUACGACCUACGGGUGAAAGCAGGGGAUCUUCGGACCUUGCGCGAUUGAAUGAGCCGCUGUCGGAUUAGCUAGUUGGCGGGGUAAAGGCCCACCAAGGCGACGAUCCGUAGCUGGUCUGAGAGGAUGAUCAGCCACACUGGAACUGAGACACGGUCCAGACUCCUACGGGAGGCAGCAGUGGGGAAUAUUGGACAAUGGGCGCAAGCCUGAUCCAGCCAUACCGCGUGGGUGAAGAAGGCCUUCGGGCUGUAAAGCCCUUUUGUUGGGAAAGAAAAGCAGCAGGUUAAUACCCCGCUGUUCUGACGGUACCCAAAGAAUAAGCACCGGCUAACUUCGUG